UACGGGGGGGGCAAGCGUUGUUCGGAAUUACUGGGCGUCAAGGGUUCGUAGGUGGCCUACUAAGUCAGACGUGAAAUCCCUCAGCUUAACUGGGGAACUGCGUCUGAUACUGGGGGGCUUGAGUGCAGGAGAGGAACGCGGAAUUCCAGGUGUAGCGGUGAAAUGCGUAGAUAUCUGGAGGAACACCGGUGGCGAAGGCGGCGUUCUGGACUGCAACUGACACUGAUGAACGAAAGCCAGGGGAGCAAACGGG
rnacentral:rRNA from 1 species